AACGAACGCUGGCGGCGUGCCUAAUACAUGCAAGUCGCACGAGAAAGUCCUUGGAGUGAGUAGAGUGGCGCACGGGUGAGUAAUAUAUAGGAACGUACCAUACGGUGGGGGAGUAACCACGGGAAACUGUGGCUAAUACCGCAUGAUGUCGAAAGACCAAAGAAGGCCUCUAUUUAUAAGCUUUCGCCGAUUGAGCGGCCUAUAUCCCAUUAGCUAGUUGGUAGGGUAAUGGCCUACCAAGGCGACGAUGGUAGCUGGUCUGAGAGGAUGAUCAGCCACACUGGGACUGAGACACGGCCCAGACUCCUACGGGAGGGCAGCAGUGGGGAAUAUU
rnacentral:rRNA from 1 species